AUCGACAAGAGAAAGUAUAAAAUGUGAUAGUCACAUAGCUAAUGUGGCGUCUCUAACCAAUUAUAUUUUGGUUCACCAAUCUCACCAUAAUAUAUAAAAGUUUUUUUUUUUUUUGUACUUUAAGAGAUGUGAUUGACUGAAUAUAUAUGAUGUGGUGUAGGUGUUGACUGAUGUUACUUAUCGGUGUAGUGAAAAGACUAAUUUUAACAGUAUUCUGCUCUUACCAACAGGCAAUAGAUGACGAGGUCUUCACCUAUUUUCAUCUAUAUCUGCUUAGCAGCCCUCUACAGUCCAAUCAU
rnacentral:lncRNA from 1 species